CCCCCUCACCCCCGGCGGGCCGCGGCCAUCUUGGCCGCUGGCGGAAGAGCCCCAGGAAGAGCAGCGGGCAGAGGUGUUGCCGUGCCGACCCCCCCCCGGUGAGGGGUCUGUCGUGGCGGCAGGGCCAGCAGCAGAAAUAGCAGACAAACCGAGCGCGGCGGGGCGCAGCCUGCGUUUAGAGGGUCUGGCACUAAAGGCAAGAGAUCUGGCAGCACACGGUCAGAGCUCGGCAUCUUCAGGCAAGUCUGCAAGAGCACUCUGCAUUUAAAGAUCUCAAAAAACUCACAAAAAUCAAAAAUCGAGUUUAUUGGCUUUGCACAAAAGCAAAAAACAGAAAGCUAAUUUUGUCUGUGGUUAUAUCUACUUUCUGCUUUAUAAGACUUAACACGGGAUUUAAAGAGCACUGAAAAUAAUGCAAGCAUCUGAACUGGCUGCGCAGGUGGGUUCAGUGGCAGCCACAGAUUCCCUUAAAAUCUCGGCAGCAGCUUCAGCAGAGAUGAGCAAAGUGAUUAAUGCUCAUGGCUUGGGACGUUAUAACCAAAAUGACUUCCAAAAGGGAAUUGAGCAAAGAAGGUUUUGGCCAUUUCAUUGAUCCUGUUGUAGGCUCCCAGGGUCCGGAAAUACUCCACAUAUGACCAGAAGUCAUUGGCUGAGAAAGGCCAGUAUGGCAUGGCUACAGAUUCCUGGUAGAAAUCUGCAAUGAAAAAUUGCAGAAUCAGAUUAAUAAAACACAAAGCAUUUCUGUUAAAGCUCAGGCCUCGGAGCCAACAUGGUUUAGGGAUCUCAGACUUACUGGGAGGCUAGUGACUUCCUCAGGCCUGUGCUCUUUUACAUGCUUCAGCCCUUAGUGCCCCCUCUCAAAAAAUUGUUCUGAUGGAGCUGUUAUCCUCUGCUCCAGCUGCAACAGGAAUGACAGACACUGCAGAGAGCAGUGACAUGAAUGAGACACUAGACCCUUACAUAUGGCUCUCAGCAACUGGAGCAAUUGAGUAAUUCCUGAGGCUUCCCAAUUUCCAGCAAGGCACCUGACUGUUGAAAAGAAGCAAUUGCAAUUUAAAGUCACUUCCCGCCGACCACCACCAUUCCUCCUCUACUAUAUUUCUUCUGCCACCAAAAAUAGGAGGCAAGAAGAAGAGGUUAUCAUCAAUGCUCUGCAGCUGCCUGCAGGCAGGUCAUCCCUCUGACCGCAGAGGGAGAGCACGGAGCCAGGGAGCUGUUCCCCAUCCGUCUCAAUGCAAAGGCAGCCGGCAAACUGCGGUGCCAGCUGGGGCUGCCCAGGGCUCAGGUCUGCGCUGCCCUGCAUCACCUGGGACUUCAGAUUAUUCUCAGCAGACAGCAAAUGAAGGACAUUGCCACUUUGAAGACUGGCACAUGCGUGCCUAUUCUAGGAAUAUCUGAGGCAAACUGCGAUACUCUGAAAUCAGAUUUCAAAUUCAGUAGGAAAAGGAAAGCAAAACAAUUCCAAAAAACACCAAGAGCUGGGUCCCGAUCCCGCCAAGCACAGAAGCAUAUUCAAAAUGUAAAUAAUGGCUGAAACCAUAGUUAUAAAUGUCUGUUACAAAACUUAUCCCAUUAUUCUGAUUUAAAUUAAAGUCUAUUUAAAUAAA